rnacentral:lncRNA from 1 species
CCGAGCAACUCUAUUGCAACUGAAGACAGAUCGGUUGAAGGUACAGACCUUGCAAAGGAGCUUGAGUGUGGAUUCACCUCGCACGCCCUCAAGGAAAGGCGAUGAAUACCCAUCGAGGCUGGAGAGGUUCAAAGUCAAGACUCUGGAUGUGUAUGUAGGGGUGGCACAAGAUGGCAAGGGUGCGACCCAGCAAAAUGGUUCCAAAUAGUAUUUGCACGACAACAGCUUGAGAAUGGGAUCGAUUAUUUCCAUUAAUAUAUUAUCCUCUACUAUAGUCAACAUGUAAAUAGGAAUUGAAUGAUUUUAUAAAAUAUUUUGUAAGACUUUCUUGGUUGUAAAAAGACUAUUUAUAGACAUUGGUUUGGUUUGAGUGUAUAUUCCUUUCAACUGUCUUGGAAAUAUAUAUAUAUAUAUAUAUAUAUAUAUAUAUAUAUAUCUUAUUUCCAAAUAUUCAAUCAUUGAUCAUGCUUCUACUGGGGCCAUAAUCACUAUUUGAUGAUGAUUUGUUAUAUGAUUGAGACCAAUAAAAAUAUGCCAAUAUAUAUGAGACGCAUAAAAUAAUAGGUAACAGAUCAUGAUUAACAAAAGAGUCUUCUACAGAGUGACGAAGUAUGGAGCAUCUCUAUUAUCCUAUUCCAUGUGACAACUUUCCGCUCAUGUUAUGUUAUUUUAUGGUAAAUUAAUUGACAUUAUAAUCUAAACAAAAUGAUAAGUCAAUGGAAUAAAUAAAAUUCUUGUAAUUUUUUUAAUAUCGAAAAAGUUACACUAGUGAUUUUCAUGUUUAAAUAAUUUUCUUUAUUUUUUUUCUAUUGAAUCUUUGAUAAUCAUUGUUUUGGACAUCUAUAGAUGAGGACCUGUAUUUUUCUUAUGCGUCCUCACUCGAUGAUGAGACUCUUUUUAUUUAUGAAAAUUUGAUUUUUGAAAAUUUGUUUGGAGUCGCCAUUUUGUUUUGCAUGCAUCCCCACAAAAUGGCGACUCCAUCAGGAAUUAUCUCCAUCUUAAAACGAUCCACCAAAAACCGCAUCUACAUGCAUCUUAAAGAAUACUCCUCUAGGAAUCAUGCUAUUGAAAAAUCAAUUUGAUCCAUCUUGAAUGCACUCUACCAGGGAAUCAUGACGACUAUAGAGCAUAUCCAUUGAAAACUAUCAAAAUCUCAAAAUGUACUCCAUUGAGGAAUUGGAAUGUAGAACAAUCACAUUGAUCUAUCUCAAAGGCACUCCACUAGGGAGCUGUGACGACUACAAAGCAUAUCCAUUGAAAGCUGUCCAAGUCUCAAAAUGUUCUCCAUUGAAUAACUAGAAUGCAAAACAAUCAAACUGAUCUAACUCAAGGCAUUCCAUCAGGGAAUCAUGAUGACUAUACCAAGCUCUUGGAGCUUGUUUUAGUACCCAUACAAUGUUUUUUUUUUAAAAAAAAAAAAAAAAAACGCUUUAUGCUCACUUCUAAGCUUCACAUAACUAGGGGGUUGAUUAAUAAAAACUUGUUUUUGUAUAUCACCAUGCAAAAAUGUUGAUUCAACAUCUAGUUGGAAGCUAGACCAUGAGUUUUAUUGUACCAUGUCUUGCAAUAGGAGCAAAGCCUUAUUUAUAAUUUACACUAAACUCUUAUUUCUAGCCUUGCACUUGUCAACUUUGUCAUUCACCUUUAGUUUUGUCUUUUAUACCCACUUGACACUAAUUGUCUUGUGCCCUCUUGGAAGAUUAGUUAACUCCAAAGUGUUUUUUUUUUCCCUCAAUAGUUACAAUAUCAUCAUUCAUAACUGUCCUCCAUGUUGAUUCUUUGACAACAUCUUUGAAAGUUGUAGGAUUAUAAUCUAAAAUGUCACAAAAAGUGUAAGUAGGUUCUUAAUAGGGUCAAUUUUAGUUACCUCACAAUCAAUCAUCCAUAUAGGUCUUCUUUGAACACGUUUAGACCUUUGCUCAUCAUAUAUUUUAGUUGCAACUAGGCUUUAAAUAUCUGUAGGAACAUUUUAGGUAACUUCAGUUUGUUGAACAUUUUUCAUAGGCUAUUGCAUUUUUUGAUUACCAUCAAAAUAUGCUUAACUUAAAAUCAUAAUGGCAUGUUCUUUUAUAAUUUUGCUUGAAACCGCAAAUACUAAUAUUAGCUAUUAUAAUUUUUUAUAUUUCAUUAUCUUAUUAGCAAUUGCAAUUUUAAGACAAAAAAAAAAAAAAAAAAAACAAUAUAAACGACAUUAACAACUCAAGGCCUAUUGGAAAUUAUUUUUUAGAAUAGUUUUCUAUUCUUCAUAAUAAAAAAAUAUAGAAAACAUGUUCGAUAAGAAUAAGAAAUAGGGUGUUUUUAGAAAAUAUUUUUUACUUGUUUUCUAUUAUUUUCACUUAUUUUUUAAGGGCUAUUUUAAGAAAUAAUUACAUAAAUAUGUAAAAUAAUUAAAAAUAAAACACUAAAUUUAAAAUUUAUUUUUAAAACAUGUAUAAAAAUAUUAAAAAUAGAUUAGAAACAUUUUAAAUUUUCAAACAUAUUUUUUUUUUUUUACAAAAAUUAGAGAAUAGUUUUCAAAAACUAUAUAUUAUAAAAAAAAUUAUUUUACAAAAUUAUUUUUAAAAACAAUUACCAAAUCGGUCCUAAGAUUUUAAGCCACUUUCAAAAGAUUAUUUCUAAAUUAAAGAUUCUCAUAAUUUCUUUAAACUGCAACUGGACAAGGAUUUAUGUGAAAAAAAAAAAGACUUUGAAAUACACAUUGAAAAAACUAACAUAAAAGAAAGAUUGAAGGGUUACAAAUUUAAUCACCUUGAAACCGUCAAGAAUUAUAAACAUCCAAAAGUAGUUAGACUUGUUAAUACAGGGGCAUCCUAGUUUUGGAGUAGGUCAAAGUUAGGUCAAAAGCAAUUUUGCUUCAAAAAUCUUUUUAAACCAAUUUAAAAUUUCAAGAAAAAAAAAAAUUUCAAGUACCACACAUACUCUAAACUUGGCUCAAUUUAUCAUAUUCAAGUGGAUCAACUACAAAGAAGACCUUUCUCUAUUAAAAAGCCCCAGCUUCAACGCGCAGAUGGAAGGGAGAUAGGUCAUGACUAAUAACUAAUAGUUCGUACAUAUGUGGAAGUGAGAUUCAUCAAAUGUGUCGUACUAAAAUUCACCAGUUCUCAAUUCCCAAAAAUGAAAACUUCUAAAUAAAUAAACGUGGGGCCUUUGAUGACCUUCCACAUAACGGCAGACAGAGAUGGUGUGAGGAAGCUACACUCAACUAAAAGUCGCAGCUGACCCGGUCCAGUUUCCACCCACAAACAGAGCUUUUAGCAGGCAUUCAAAGCUGCCUAACACCCAAAUCUUGACCACUGAUGCAACUUGUCGACCCAAUUAUGAGUAAACCACCCACGCGGAGGCCCUGGGUGAUCUAGUUUUCCUGUGGAAAGACAGAAAGUUUUUUCGACUUCCCCAUCAAGUGUCCAACUCUCCAUCUAUAUAUAUAUAUGUGUGUGACCAAGCCCAAACCUCAAGUCCCACAAAGCCUUUCACGAUUGUUCAUUAGUAUUCUUUUUCAGCACAACCCCAACACAGGUACCUGCUUCUGAUAAUCUCUGUCUCUCCUGGGUUCAUCUGAUCAAGCUUCCAUGGCUGGCCCUUACAGCGCCAAUGGUCAACAGCCCCAGUUUCGUCCACCGUAUGAUUUGGGGUAUCCCAUGCUUGCCUACCCACAGCCUGCUUAUCAAUCUUGUCCGCCAUAUGAAUUUGGUUAUCCCAUGCCUGCCUACCAGCAGCCUUAUCAAUCUCCUCCACCAUAUGAAUUCGGGUAUCCCAUGUGUCAGAAUGAGGGAUCAACCAGCACCAUAAAUCAUGAGAUGGCAUGGAGUGAGAAUGAUUUACUGCAGUGGAUAAGCAGUUUCCAGAAGAGCGAUAACUUUCAUUCUGAUCAUAGAGUUAGUCCUCCUCAACCCAACGAUCCAAGGCUGCUAGUGCUGUUAGAAAAUCUUCGGAAACUCUAUACGGAAAGGAGGGAGUUGUUCAAGAACAUAUUUCCGGAGCUUGAUGACAACUUUGUGGAGUCGUUUAAGAAAAUCCGAGCAACUCUAAUGCAACUGAAGACAGAUCGGUUGAAGGCACAGACCUUGCAAAGGAGCUUGAGUGUGGAUUCACCUCGCACGCCCUCAAGGAAAGGCGAUGAAUACCCAUUGAGGCUGGAGAGGUUCAAAGUCAAGACUCUGGAUGUGUAUGUAGGGGUGGCACAAGAUGGCAAGGGUGCGACCCAACCAAAUGGUUCCAAAUAGUAUUUGCACGACAACAGCUUGAGAAUGGGAUCGAUUAUUUCCAUUAAUAUAUUAUCCUCUACUAUAGUCAACAUGUAAAUAGUAAUUGAAUGAUUUUAUAAAAUAUUUUGUAAGACUUUCUUGGUUGUAAAAAGACUAUUUAUAGACAUCGGUUUGGUUUGAGUGUAUAUUCCUUUCAACUGUCUUGGAAAUAUAUAUCUUAUUUCCAAAUAUGCAAUCAUUGAUCAUGCUUCUAC